UACGAAGGGGGCUAGCGUUGCUCGGAAUUACUGGGCGUAAAGGGCGCGUAGGCGGAUAUUUAAGUUAGAGGUGAAAGCCCAGGGCUCAACCCUGGAAUAGCCUUUAAUACUGGAUAUCUUGAGUUCGGGAGAGGUGAGUGGAACUCCGAGUGUAGAGGUGAAAUUCGUAGAUAAUUCGGAAGAACACCAGUGGCGGAAGGCGAACUCA
rnacentral:rRNA from 1 species